rnacentral:rRNA from 1 species
AGACCGAUAGCGAACAAGUACAGUGAUGGAAAGAUGAAAAGAACUUUGAAAAGAGAGUGAAAAAGUACGUGAAAUUGUUGAAAGGGAAGGGCUUGAGAUCAGACUUGGUAUUUUGUAUGUUACUUCUUCGGGGGUGGCCUCUACAGUUUAUCGGGCCAGCAUCAGUUUGGGCGGUAGGAGAAUUGCGUUGGAAUGUGGCACGGCUUUGGUUGUGUGUUAUAGCCUUCGUCGAUACUGCCAGCCUAGACUGAGGACUGCGGUUUAUACCUAGGAUGUUGGCAUAAUGAUCUUAAGUCGCCCGUCUUGAAACACGGACCAAGA